UACGUAGGGAGCAAGCGUUGUUCGGAUUUACUGGGCGUAAAGGGCGCGUAGGCGGCGUGUUAAGUCAGCUGUGAAAUCUCUGAGCUCAACUCAGAACGGCCAGCUGAUACUGAUGUGCUAGAGUGCAGAAGGGGCAACCGGAAUUCUUGGUGUAGCGGUGAAAUGCGUAGAUAUCAAGAGGAACACCUGAGGCGAAGGCGGGUUGCUGGGCUGACACUGACGCUGAGGCGCGAAAGCCAGGGGAGCAAACGGG
rnacentral:rRNA from 1 species